AAAUUCCAUUUAACCAUUCCCAGCUGAAUCCACGGGAAAAAUAAAGAUCUAACAAGAAACGGAAUAAAGAGAAAGGUGCUUCUGAAAGAUGGAUUUUACAUCCCUUGUACUAACAGGCACAGAGAAGGCUCAGAUUCAUAAACUGAGACUUCAGAGAGGGGUCCUCCUAAAGGGAAACUUCCAGACACAGGGCGCCUGGGGAGCGCCAGCAAUCUCCCCUUGCUCCUCCCCCCAGAAAGCAGAGACAGAGGUCAGCCUCAAAAGGGGCCCCAAGCAGAAACCUCUCCAGGACAGUUUCCUGUCACUGAUCUCCACCCCGUGGUCUGACCGUUUUAGCAAGCGAUACUGCCAGUGAGGCUGCCAGAGGCCGCCGCCACAGAGUACCCCUGAAGGGCACCCCUCAGAAUCUCAGAGGCAGGGAAAGGACAACCAAAGUGAAUCAGGGACAGAGGCCGAUCUGAGCCCCGCCUCCCGGCUCCAUACCUCCCGGGUCCCCGCAGCACUCCUGCUGAGGUGCCCCCCGGAAUGGGCCGGACCAUGGGAGGGACAGUUCGACUGUAAAGACAGCCCUCUUCCUCUGGGUGGAAGGACUUGCCCUGAGGUCCCACCCCCCAACGUCCAGCCUUCAAGACAACUUCCGGCGGCUCAAAGUGAAUGCUGAUCGCACAGCGCCCCCAGAGGCCGGCGGGGAAAUGCCCACCAGAACCUGUGUCUGGGUAUAAAGUCGAUAUUCUAGUCUCUGAUACUAAAAUGUUCUCUCUCAAAAAAACAGUAACGCUUCGUUAAUUCUAUCAUCUAUUCCACAAGUUUUCUUUUUCUUUUCUUGGAGGUGCUAUGCUAUGAAUGGAACCCAGGGUUGUGCACGUACUAGGCAAAUGCUCUUUGAACUUAGAUUUUUUUUUUCUUUUGGUUCUCAAGAUAGGGUUUCUCUGUGUAGCUUUGGCUGUCCUUGGUAUCACUAUGUAAACCACUAUAAAUGGCUUCGAACUCACAGAGAUCCACUUGCCUCUGCCUCCUGAGUGCUGAGAUUAAAGGCACAUGCCACCACACUGGACUAAAUGUGGAAUUUUUUGAACUUGGAAUGGAGGCUCACAUUUGAAUCCCAGCACUUGGGAGGAUGAAGUGGGGAGAUUUUCUGAAGACAACAAGACACAGAGACCCUGUUUCAAAAAUAAACAAGCAGACAAACAAACCAAACACCUCAGCACUCACUUUGUCAUGUUUGUGCCAUAAACAGGACUAUAUACAAAGGAAAAGCUACAAGUUAGAGUGAUUGGCCAUAAAGUCACUGUCUAGGAUAAUUAGACAUCCAAACUAACAAUUAAAACAAACCAUGAUGAAUGCUGUUAUUGAAGUGGGGUGCUAUGAGCAUGGCAGAGGGGCAUUUGACGUAGAGGUGAAAGAUAGCAAAAAGAAGGGAGGAAGGGGGCCGAGUCUGUGUUCAGGCUUGAAGGACUGAAGAGGACAGAGAUUUCUGAAGCAGAGGAAAUACUACAACCACCACCAUGACAGUUCUUGGAUCAGUCUGGGUUCUCUAGAGUCACAGAACUUAUGGAAUGUCUAUAAAUUAAGGGGGUUUAUUAUACUGACUUACAGUCUGUCUUCUAACUAACCCAAGACAGCUGUGAAUGGGAAGUUCAAGAAUCUAGUAGCUGCUCAGUCCCACGAGGCUAGUUUCAGCUGGUCUUCUGUAGAAGCUGGAUGGAAUUCUGAAGUGGUAGGUUCCAACAGAUGUGCUGGCAAGUAAGGAUGCAAGCAAGCACGAGUGACUCUCCCUUCCUCCAAGGUCCUUAUGAAGGCCUCCAGCAGAAGGUGUGGCCCAGAUUAAAGGUGUGUGCCACCAAGUCUGCAUCUGGAACUUGUUUUGUCCCAGGCUGACCUUGAACUCUGCUUGCCUCAGUCUCCUGGGAUUAAAGGCAUGGACUACCUUGCCUGGACCUAAGCUUUUCCUGGCCACUAUGCCUCAAGAUCUCCAUGUCAAGAUCCAGGUCAGAAACCUGUGUUCCAACCUCAAGACCCGAAUCACGGGUGUGCCCUCCAUUUCUGGAUUGUAGUUCAUUCCAGAUAUAGUCAAGUUGACAAGCAGGGAUAGCUAUCACACAGAGGAAAUCCAACAAGAUUCACGACAGUUCUGGAGCCACAAAUCCCUGGGGGCUCAGUACUGAUUGCAGAGACUAGUCCAAUGACGAAGAUGUGUGGGAGGUCAGGGACCAAACACCACAACAGCAGGCCAUUGGUAGGUUUACUGUAGGGAAAUGACCUACUCCAUCCACUUUUGCAAGGAAGGUCAUUCUCUUGGAAGAGCCAAGGCUUGACAAAAAGAUGAAACUGAGGAUCAGUUAGGAGACUAUUUGCAGUCUCUGAGUUUAUUUAUUUGCUUUUAAUGUCAAGACUUUGGGAUGAAAAGGAGAUUUGGGGACGUGUGCAGAGAGGACAAAAAGCAUUGAUGACAUGGUUGUAAGCCAAGGGCAAUUCUCAGGACUGUAUGAUUUGCCCCAUGUCUCAUGUUGAACAGAUGAACAGAAGGAACCCAACAUUAGGAAUUCAGGAAGGAAUAAAAAUCUGCUUUUUUUUUCUGUUGUUGAGAAAUGGGUGAAAACAAGUUCAAUCCAUUUAUUAAAGGCAGUGGUUCU